ACUCUAAUAGAAGCAGCUAAUCAAAUACCCAGUGAUGAAAUAUGGCUACAGACUCCUGCUCUGAGCUCCCAACUUCUCUCCCACCAUCACCGGAGUGCUGUGGGACAACUGGCCUGCUGACAGAGGAGUGUUUGUAACUUAUGAUGAUGACAAGGUCUACACCUACGCCCUGCACAAAGCCAUCAUAUAUGGUAGGGUAACGCCACGCCAUCACACACACACACACACACACACACACACACAUGCACACACACACACACACACAGCAACUGUGUAUAUUUUAUUAUGUAAAUCAACAAAAUACUAUCAUCUAACAUCUAAAU